GUGCUCGCUUUGGCAGCACAUAUACUAAAAUUGGAAUGAUACAGAGAUUAGCAUGGCCCUGAGCAAGGAUGCCAUGCAAAUUUGUGAAGUGUUCCAUAUUUUU